UCUAUAGAAAAUCAUCCAAAGAGCACCAUGUCAUGGGACCUUUAAAGAAAUGCCAAUAAACCAGACCACGUUUUUCUCCCAUCCUGGAAUGCUGGGUGGACUAGCCAGACUCUCCCCCGCAGCGCCGUGGAGGAGGGUCUGGCAAAGAGACUACGUAAACAUUAACGUCUCCCUGUGCUAAGCAAUUCCAGUCUUGGCAGCAUGGCUAACUUAGCCAACCAGCUGAUGGCAGCUAUAGCUAGCAGCAGUUAGCGCUUGGCCUUAGCACGAACUAUUAACCACUUUAGCAACAAGUAAAGCUUUCUGUUAAUCUGAAAAGUCUGUAAAUCACUGAGAGCCAAAUGUACUGAC